CCUUGGAUAAAAUAUUUCAGUAGUUUAUUCGUCGGUCCAACUGUACAUGAUGCAGUGUUGAUAGGGACACGAGAUGAUGACUAACAUGGAGUUUUACACAAUGCCAGUGCGAUGGCAGCACUUGGAACACACCAACUGUCUGUCAGCUGAGCUGGAAACUAAAGUCCUGGAAAUGUAACCUGUUGAGGCCUCGGCACAUACAGUAUGUCAGAUUUGGAAUAGUCAUUUUUAGAUCGGUUGAAAAACACACAAAAUAUAUAUUUUCUUCGAUUCCACAAAUGUAAAAGGAUGCUCUUUCGCUUUUCACUUGGACAUGUUGAUUCAAUUAUGCACAUUGUCAUUCUUUAUUUCAGUACUUUGAAGCGAAAUGAAAUGAGAUGUGGGAAUAGCUGAAUACAAAAUGUUGGCUGAUUCGCAGAGGUUUUAUUCCAUGUUUAUACUGAUAUCAUUAUUUCAUGUAAUAACCCCAUAAGUUUGUGCAACAUCUUUCUUUGCAUAGAAAUAAAAUUUAAAUAUUUUGUUUGUUGACAUGCACCUUUUCUUUAGCAGCAUAUUUUAUCUUGCGGAUUUGGGACUCCCUUACAGAAUUAUAAGCCCACUAUAGUGUGAAUACAUGCAGCGUACCAGCAGAGAUGAACUUGAUUUCUAGUAAGAGUUUAUGAGAGCACAAGCCAGCCAGUAUAGUGGGUGUUGAUGAGGACUGUUAAAUAGUGACACCACCUGAUCAGACAGGUGGAACUAGUCUGCAGGGACACACUGUGUGUCUGUCUGCAGCACUGUGAGAGAGAGGAACAGACUAUGGGGAAAGUGCUCUGUGUGCGACAACAUCCAAACAUUCCACGUGAUUGAUUCUUUGGAUUUUGAGUCACUACUGGAAGUACUUAAGGAACCCGAUGACGUCAUUCAUAGACUGUGUCAUGUGUGAUCCAUCUUUUUGUCAUUAUCACUAUGCCCCGACCUUUAGAGAUGACACAUGUGCUGUAUACCGCUAAAUCUGACCUCUAGAGAAGACACAUGUACUGUAUACCCCUAAAUCUGACCUCUAGAGAAGCACCCCUAAAUCUGACCUCCAGAGAAGACACCCCUAAAUCUGACCUCCGGAGAAGACACCCCUAAAUCUGACCUCUGCUCUGUCCCAUGUAUACUGAACUUGACCCUUGACCUCUAUAUUGGAUAAAUACAGUGUGUAACGAGUGAUAACUUUGCUGAACACCUAAUAGGUAGAUCAUUACAUUCUCUGGUUAUCCAUAGCAUUUUGAACCAAAUCAUAAUUCUGUUACUGUUUUCUUUCAUUAACAUUACCAUAAACACCCGCUAUACAACAUGCUUAAAAUAAACCCAAAGCAGAAAUGAUAUGUUAUAAUUCAGAAGCUGGACUCUUGUUCCUCUUUUAUGUACAAUCUUGCCCAAUGUAUAUAUUUCCAUUUAUUGAAUGUGGUCUGUAUUUCCCAUUUUUAUGAGGCGAUCUCCUCCAUUUGAUGAUUCAGUAGAUCUCUCUUUUUGCUGUGUGCUGUUCAUAGCUUUGCCAUGCAGUUCUUUGCGAGGGCUCCGCAUGCCAGGGCCAGCGAGCUGCACGCUCUGUGAGGGAAAUCAUGCCUGGUGAACCUCUGUGGACUGGCGAUCAGAAGAGAGGAGUUCUGUGGCUAUAGAUAUCAGGGUGGUGUUGUUAGGUGGUUGGGUUGUUAGGUAGGUGGGUUGUUCGGAAGGUGGGUUGUUAGGUAGGGUUGGUGGGGUUGUUAGAUUGUUGGGUUGUUAGGAAGGUGGGUUGUUAGGUAGGUUGGUGGGGUUGUUAGAUUGUUGGGUUGUUAGGUGGGUGGGUUGUUAGGUAGGUGGGUUGUUAGGUAGGUUAGUGGGGUUGUUAGAUUGUUGGGUUGUUAGGAAGGUGGGUUGUUAUUUUUGAUGAUUUUUUUUUUACCCCUUUUUUCUCCCCAAUUUCGUGGUAUUCAAUUGGUAGUUACAGUCUUGUCUCAUCGCUGCAACUCCCGUACGGACUCAGGAGAUGCAAAGGUCGAGAGCCAUGCGUCCUCCGAAACACAACCCAACCUAGCCGCACUGCUUCUUGACAUAACGCACAUCCAACCUAUAUGUGCGUCCUCCAAUGUGUCGGAGGAAACACCGUACACCUGGCGACCUGGUCAAAAUGCACUGCGCCCUGCCACAGGAGUCGCUAGUGCGCGAUGAGACAAGGAUAUCCCUGCCGGCCAAACCCUCCCUAACCCGGACAACGCUGUGCAUCGCCCCAAGGACCUCCCGGUCGCGGCCGGCUGCGACAGAGCCUGGGCUUGAACCCAGAAUCUCUGCUGGCACUGCGAUGCAGUGCCUUUAGACAACUGUAACACCCGAGAGGCCCGGUAGGUGGAUUGUUAGGUAGGUGGGUUGUUAGGUGGUGAGGUUGUUAGGUAGGUGGGUGAGGUUGUUAGGUAGGUGGGUGGGGUUGUUAGGUAGGUGGGUGGGGUUGUUAGGUGGGUUGUUAGGUAAGUGUGUGGGGUUGUUAGGAAGGUUGGUGUGGUUGUUAGGUAGGUGGGUGGGGUUGUUAGGUGGGUUGUUAGGUAAGUGUGUGUGGGGUUGUUAGGAAGGUGGGUGGGGUUGUUAGGUAGGUGGGUGGGGUUGUUAGGUGGGUGGGUGGGGUUGUUAGGUGGGUUGUUAGGUAGGUGUGUGGGGUUGUUAGGAAGGUGGGUGGGGUUGUUAGGUAGGUGGGUGGGGUUGUUAGGUAGGUUGUUAGGUAGGUGUGUGGGGUUGUUAGGAAGGUGGGUGUGGUUGUUAGGUAGGUGGGUGGGGUUAGGUGGGUGGGUGGGGUUUUAGGUGGGAUGUUAGGUAAGUGGGUGGGGUUGUUAGAUAGGUGGGGGGUUGUUAGGUAGGUUGUUAGGCAGUUGGGUGGGGUUGUUAGGUGGGUGGGGUUGUUAGGUGAGUGGGUUGUUAGGUGGGUAGGGUUGUUAGGUGGGUGGGGUUGUUAGGUGGUGGGAUUCAGGGGCGGACUGAAACAAUAAUUCAGGCAGAGAAUUUGACUCCAUCCCAGGCCACCCUGUUCACACAAACCACCAGACUGCUAAUUUUGUAGGCUAACCCUAUUUGUUGAUGUAACGGGUACCAAACUAGUUAUACAUUUGGCCACUAUGUUAAUCUGGGAAGAAAGUUACCCACAUGACAAAAUGCAAACAUUUGGGACUGACCAACAAGUAGCCUAUCUGAACACUGAGUUUUCAAGGUAUGCUAUGGCUAUGGGUGCCCCCUCAUAAACUCUCUAGGAAUACACCAAUCAUAGCACAUACAAAUGUACAAGGUAUGGCCCCCGAUUACAGUCCUACUGAUAAUCUCAUAAAUAAAGCACAUAUUAAUCUAAAAUCAUAGCCUACAUGUUUAGGUUUGUGCUCUUAAGUUGUUGCUGAAGGUUCCUGCUCUGAGUCUGACUCUGAACUGUCCACCUCCUCCAGUUCUGCAAGAGCACCUGAAGCUCUAGUGCUGCUGCUGCUUCCUUCCUCCACCUUUACAAAGAAAAGACUGUAUUAUCACACUAUCAUUAGUGUAUCAGUAGGCUACAUUAAUACAGCUCUGGGAAACAUUAAGAGUGGUCUCUUAACUUGGAGUGGUCUCUUAACUUGGAGUGGUCUCUUAACUUGGAGUGGUCUCUUAACUUGGAGUGGUCUCUUAACUUGGAGUGGUCUCUUAACUUGGAGUGGUCUCUUAACUUGGAGUGGUCUCUUAACUUGGAGUGGUCUCUUCAUUUAGAGUGGUCUCUUCAUUUGGAGUGGUCUCUUCAUUAAGAGUGGUCU
ensembl:lncRNA